GCUCCAAUGGUCUAGUAGUAUGAUACCUUGUUAGGGUUGGCUCACUUAAAAGUUGUGUGAGUUUCUUGAGAUCGAGGUGGUCCCAGGUUCAAUUCCUGGUUGGGGCC